CAGGAUGUAGCUCAGUGGCAGAGCGCUUGCCUGGCAUGUACGGGCGGACCGUGGGUUCACGCCCCAGCACCUUGA
rnacentral:tRNA from 1 species